CAACAUCAACUAAAUUCCACAGUGCAUAACAGGCAGAGAGUUUAAAGAUCUUGCGCACAUGCAACAGCCGUCUCUCUUCUUUAAGAAUUCCUUUGGAACCUGAUUUUUCUGUUACCUGGUUUGGGGAGUCGGCAGCUUCCUGUCUUGGAAAGAGGCGUGGCCAAGAGCUGAGGACUUAGAAAGCAUAGGAUAAACACCUUCAGUGUCUGAGUUACAGGAUUCCUGAACAUUUGGUGGCAUCCCUGAAGAAGGAAGCUGACCUAAUGUUGUCCCUGGGGAUUAUUGAGCCAUCAAGAAUUACCUGGUUUGGGGAGUCGGCUGCUUCCUGUCUUGGAAAGAGGCAUGGCCAAGAGCUGUGGACUUAGGGUAUGUCCCAAUUCAGGGGCUGGAUCUUUCGAAGGACCUGGUCUACGUGGGCUGGGUCCUUCGUUGACCGCUAAAACCACGGAGGCCCUUUUGCCACUGUGGUCCGCCAUGACUGCCCCUGCUUGACCAAUCCGCUUCGACCCGCAAAGAAUCAUGGGAAAUGAUGGACACUCACGACCCAUCCUUCAAAUCGGGCAAAAGAAGGACACAUUUGUCGGCUGCAUUUCAAGGAGUCUCGGAAGGAUUUGUGAAUUGGGACAGCCUUCGUCGCCUCGCUGUGACGUAAUCGGUCUACAAAUACGGCCUUAGAAGGAUCCAGCCCCUGAAUUGGGACACAGCCUUAGAAAGCAUAAUGCCAGCUCAGCAGGACCAACUAUUUGCCUGUCGGCUAGGGGGGUGUUUAAGUUAAUUUACAUCAUUUGGUUCUUAGGCAGUAGUGAUGUUUAGUUCUGUUUCCCCCCUAUUGUAUAUGAAUGGUCUGGCCAAUUCACUAUAUAGGUUAACCUUCUGUGUCUUUGUGUUAGCUCAGUUUGGAGUUACAUUGUGUAUAUUUUGUUUCCUUAGCUAAUAGUUUGUGUGUUCCCAUUGUGAGAAGAGUUUUAUUUAGUUGACCUCUUUUACGGGCCCAUAAACUAUAUUUUCGAACUUUGCUAUUUUUGAGUUUUGUUGGGUAAAAUAAAGACCCACUUGGAAUACAGUUUCCUAUGUCCGCUAUGCCUUUACUGCUCGGUGAUCUGUUAGACUUUGAUAUACUUUUGUUAUUUCUUUAGCUUUGUAGGUUCUUGUGCACUAAUUAUGUAUAUUUGAUAUGAGUUAUGUUUUUGUUCUAUUGUGUGUUUAUUCAGAAAUUCUCCAGCCACCUUCCCUUAAUCCGACUCGGCUGUUUAUUAUUCCAGCAAUCACCUUCCAGCAUACAUAAUUACCUGGUUUCCAGAGUCAUUUGUCAGAAUAUUUCCCCUCCUGUGAUCUCCUGGUUCCAUACAAUUACCAUCUAUCUAUUCUUAACAUGUUGUUGCCUUUCUCCUACCUGCAAUUGGGUCCCCCAUAAUUAUAACUAAACAACUAACAACUAUGGUUAAAUCAACAUAGACAUGGUUCAACAAAUUUAAAAUCAAACUUCAUUGAUGGGCAUUUCAGCCUCCAGCGCUAAACCCUACAGGAAACCUGUAAAUUGGGCUGAAGAGAGGAGAGCAUCAGAGAAAACCCAGGACUUUGGACAAUCUAGAGAGAUUGUGCAAAAAAGAAUGGUCAACACUCUGGAUGCUUCAAUCUUAGAUAAUGGGAAAAGAACAUCAA